ACUCGCCUCUGGUCCCUGAGGAGAGCAGGGGAGGCAGCCCCUCGCCCAGGCACCCUUUCCCAGAGACCAUUCUCACAGGACCCUUCCUCAGGGGCCCCUCCAUCUUGUCCCCCAUAAGCCUCUACAGUCUCAGCCCCCAGGACUUGCUGGGAGGGAGGGACCCAACCACCAUGCAGAGGAAGUGGCUCCAGGAAGUUGGCAUGAUUGGAGGCCAGGUGCAUCCGUGUUUGAUGCCAAGUCAGUCUGGCCUUUGACCUCCACCUCCACCCACAACUCAGUCCUUCACUGGGGUAGGGGGAGGCUUGACCAGGCAACAUGGGGCUGAGUGACCGACCAUUGGUGGAGAGAGAGGUAUUUAGGGGCUGAAAGGUGUCUCCGGGCCCAGCUGGGGAGCAGCUGCUGCAAUAGAAGCUCAACAGGCAGCGGAGACCCAGGUUCUGUCCAUUAGCCUGAGGGCUCUGAAGGAGAGGUCGAGAGAAGAGCCAGCGUGGGGGCCAUGAUGGUGCCAGCACACUGGGAGCAGAGGGUGAAGAAAUGAAUGUCCACGGGCAUGGGAUGGCAGAUGGUGGUGAAGUGGCACCUGGGGCCCCCAAGCCCACCCACAUCAACAUGCAUAUCCACCAGGAGUCCACUGAGCAGACCCUGUUCAUAAGCUUUCAGGCCAUGAUGUUGAGUGUCGGGGUGCUGCUGCUUCUGACAUCUCUGGUCCCCCCAUGUCUGUACUGCUGGAGCAGACUCUGACCCAAGGAAGUGAAUCUCUAACAUAUGUGCCUGUAAGUUUGGGGACGGCAGGCUAUGCGGCGGUCUGUCCAAAGGAGAGAAGAAUGGAAAGCAGAUGGUUCGGGUAGGAGAAGAGGGCCUUUUACAGUGGGUCCCAGGGGACAUCAUUCCUGUCUUUCUACCCCAGUGGUGGCCCAGCCUAGAGAGCCCCUGUCCUUAACCACAUGGCCCCCAGGCCAAAAACCCCAGGAAGACAGGGGAGUCCACAUCCAUGGUGGGACCUUGGGCUCUUUGCGUCAGGUACCAUGAGACUGAUGUUGGAGCUGGUUGACUCCAGAACUCUGCUGCCUUGAAGGAGAGAAACUGCAUUCUCUACCCCAUCAGGCUGGCUUGCCUCCUCUUCCCUUAGAAAAGAGACCAGAAGAAACUUCCAGGAGUGAAUGAAAUCCAGCCCUGCGUCUCCUGAGUGCUCAUGCCUGGAACUUCUCCUGGACUGAGUAUCUCUGAAGCUGACUCCUGGAAGAAAUGAGACUCUCCCGGAGCCCCAGCUGUCCUCCCCGCACGGCCACUGCCCUGAUCCGCCGUGCCUCUCAGCGCCUCUCGCCCAUUUCCUGGGCACCUUCGCCAUGUGCCCCGCCUCAUGUCCCCUCUUGAGCAGUGAUGAUGAACUCGUAUGUUCUUGCUCCCAGCUUCUCUCUUAGUUAUUCCAGAGAAUUUCCCUUGGCUGGGAGAGGCAGCAGAGAACGAGCCAACAGCAACCCCACAGCACUCCCCCGACUCACAGCCUCCUCUAUGGGUCUAGAGUUGCUGGCCCUGAAAACAGAUUCUCUCUGCGGCUGGUCCUGAGACUAUGGGUCCAAAUGUCGGGUACGAAGGAGGAAAGGAGCUGAGACGCAGCCCCGCUCCCAACAAUUCACAUUCAAAAGGUGAAUGCUGGACAAUUUGAGAAUUGGAUUUUUUUUUUUUUUACUCUAUGGAAAUAUUAAGAAGGAGAUGACAUCACACCAAGAUGUGACUGUUUUGGGGGAAAAAUUUUUUUUCUAAAGAUAGGACAUCCAACAAUAUGAUGAAAUACAAACCCCGAAUAAUUGUCAUGUGAAAACAUAUCAAAAGCUGCAGGAUAAAAUAUGAAUCAUAUAUUUUUUAAAUUCAUGGCUAACCUGGAAUAAGCCCUAAUAGAAGUGGGAGCAUGAGUUCAGAGACCUGAGUCUUGAAACCAGUGUCUGCCUGUUUCAGAGUCUCACAGCCACCCACACUCAACGCACCACUAGAAGGACCCACAGGCCCAGCACAUAGUCGUACUUAUGACUAAGUUUUAUUACAACAAAAGGAUACACAGCAGUGCCAACAAGGGGAAAAGACAUCAGAUGGACACGGGAGGAACCCAGGGGUAGGCUUCCUACAUUCUCUUACUGGUGAGAGGUCACACAGUAACCCGUAUGCAGUGUUUCUGCCCAGGGAAGCCCAUUUACAUCUCAGAGCCCAGGGUUUUUAUUGGGGGCUGUCACACAGGCACUCUCUCUGCCGGCAUAACUAUUGUCAUUGAAGAUUCCCAGAAGAAAAGCAGGCACCCAACCUGAUGCCACAUUAUGCAAAUAGUCUAGGCAAGCUAAUACAGUGGGAUUCAGUGCUCUAGAAACACAAAACAAUCUUAUCAGCAUAGGAAUGUUCUGGAAGCCAAUUCGAGAAGACAGCCAAGGGCCAACUAUGCCAGUAGGGCCUUAUAAGGAGCAGCCCUCUGUUAACUUUUCCCUGCACACCCCCCCUAGGGGCAUCUGCCAAACUCCUGUAACCCAAAACUACACUUAAUAAUUAUGCUGAAGACAGUCAACCAAUCCUAGAGCCACUUAGAUUGGGGCAUCACAGUAGAGAACCCUGUAUAAACCUGCAAUUUCAGGGAACAACUGGGGGAAAAAAUCCACCCCAUCAAAGGUUAUGACAAACACUUGAUGAAAAAAGAGAAAUGAAGACUCAUGAAUAUAAGCUGACUCAAACAUAGACUUGUGGAUUCAAUUCCCACUGCUUAGGCCACCCAAAAACCCUUA